AACGAACGCUGGCGGCAUGCCUAACACAUGCAAGUCGAACGAGACCUUCGGGUCUAGUGGCGCACGGGUCCGUAACGCGUGGGAACCUGCCCUUAGGUUCGGAAUAACUCCCCGGAAGGGGUGCUAAUACCGGAUAAUGUCUUCGGACCAAAGAUUUAUCGCCUUUGGAUGGGCCCGCGUUGGAUUAGCUAGUUGGUAGGGUAAAAGCCUACCAAGGCGACGAUCCAUAGCUGGUCUGAGAGGAUGAUCAGCCACACUGGGACUGAGACACGGCCCAGACUCCUACGGGAGGCAGCAGUGGGGAAUAUUGGACAAUGGGCGAAAGCCUGAUCCAGCAAUGCCGCGUGAGUGAUGAAGGCCUUAGGGUUGUAAAGCUCUUUUACCCGGGAUGAUAAUGACAGUACCGGGAGAAUAAGCUCCGGCUAACUCCGUG
rnacentral:rRNA from 1 species